rnacentral:rRNA from 1 species
CGUAGGUGGCAAGCGUUGUCCGGAUUUAUUGGGCGUAAAGCGAGCGCAGGCGGUUCCUUAAGUCUGAUGUGAAAGCCCCCGGCUCAACCGGGGAGGGUCAUUGGAAACUGGGGAACUUGAGUGCAGAAGAGGAGAGUGGAAUUCCAUGUGUAGCGGUGAAAUGCGUAGAUAUAUGGAGGAACACCAGUGGCGAAGGCGACUCUCUGGUCUGUAACUGACGCUGAGGCUCGAAAGCGUGGGUAGCAAACAGGAUU